CAUUCAGCGAUUCUGCUUUCGUUGUCGUUACGGACAUGGUCCGAUGUGUCCAAGCAUAGCCACUGCGAAAAACAGCUUGAGCAACCUUUACUCUUAAUUAAUUUCGAGCUAAAAAUGGCUGAUAAGAGUCAUAAGGUAAAAAUUGCUGAUUAUGGAGCGUGGUCCAGUCCAAUAACUGCUGAAGUGGUCAUAGCUGAAGGAGGACUUUCGAAAUCUCGCUUUUCCUUUCUCCAAACGUGUUUGAACGAUAAUAAUGAGGAGGUAGUGUUCUGGACAGAGCUACGUCCAAAUGAGAAAGGCCGUAUUGUUGUCUGUUCUUGGAGUGAAAAGCAUAAAGAAAUUGUUUCAUGGACUCCAGAAGGUUUCAAUGCACGGACAACUGUACAUGAAUAUGGAGGUGGUUCUUGUUUUGUUUCCAAGGGAAAUGUAUACUUUUCAAACUUCAGUGAUCAGAAGAUGUACAUGCAACAGUCUUCAUCAUCACCUCCACUACAAGUCUCAAGUGGUGGUAAAGGAUUAAGAUAUGCAGACGGUGAGAUGUGUCCAUUCUCUAACACAAUAAUCUGUGUGCGUGAAGAUCAUGGAAUUAUUGAGGACCAAGGGGCAAAAGAAGCAUGCAACACAAUUGUCUCCAUUGAUCCGGAAGCUAAAGAAGAAUUUGUUUUAGUGAAAGGUGAGGACUUCUAUUCUUCUCCUCGUACUUCAUCUACUGGAAUGUUGGCAUGGGUCCAGUGGAGUCAUCCAAAUAUGCCAUGGGAUACAACAGGACUCUAUAUUGCACAGUUAAGCACUAAUGGGAAGAGUAUAGAGGGACCAUCUCAACAGAUAUCAUACAACGAAAGUGUCAGCAUAAUGUAUCCAAGAUGGAGUGCAGAUGAUUCACUUUAUUUCAUUUCAGACAGAUCAGACUGGUGGAAUGUGUACGAGUAUAUUUUUAGCACAAAUGAUGAGCGUAACAUAUUUCCUGUUGAUAAAGAAAUUGGAUUGCCACAGUGGAGAUUUGGUUUAUGCAGUUAUGUACCACAUCCAAAGAAUCCUAAAUUAUUUGCAGUAGUCUGUGGUGGAGAACUGGGCAUUGUAAAUGCUGAAGUGGAAAAGAUGGAAGUUGUCAACACAGGCUUCGUAUCUCAUAUUUACCCUUAUUUCUCAGCAAAUGGCCAAAAGCUUUAUUGUGUAGCUGGCAGCACAAUAAAAUCAUAUGUCAUCCUUGAGGUAGACAUGGAUACAAAGAAAGUUGUCAUAAUUAAGGAUGUUACAAAGAGUUUUCAAUUGGAUGAAGGGUACAUUAGCAUACCUAAAGCAAUAACUUUUCCAACGGAGGAUAACAAAGUCUCUCAUGGUUACUUGUAUUUACCUAAAAACAAAGAUUAUGCAGCACCUACAGGAUCUCUGCCACCACUUUUAGUCAAAGUUCAUGGAGGACCCACAUCUUCUACAUCACCAGUCUUUGAUUUAAAUAAGCAGUUCUUCACAAGUCGUGGUAUUGCUGUAUUGGACAUGAACUAUAGAGGAAGCACUGGAUAUGGCAUGCAUUACAGAAAGGAACUUUAUGGCAAUUGGGGCAAAGUUGAUGUUGAAGACUGUUGCAAUGGUGCAUUGUAUGUUGCUGAGACAAUGAAAGUUGCAGACCGUAACAAACUCUGUAUUGAUGGGGGAUCAGCUGGUGGUUACACAUCAUUAGCAUGUCUUACAUUACGGCCUGAGGUAUUUCAAGCUGGUGCCAGCAUGUAUGGUGUGUCUGAUGUUGAGGCUCUUGUAAAGGAUACACACAAAUUUGAAAGUCGAUACAUGGAUACUAUUGUUGGUCCAUAUCCAGAGAGUAUUGAAUUGUACAAAGAAAGAUCACCAAUCAGUCAUGUCAACAGGCUUAAAUGUCCAAUGAUCUUUUUCCAAGGGGAUGAAGACAAGAUUGUGCUACCUAACCAAGCAGAAAUGAUGUUUAAUGCAAUUAAAGAAAAGGGAAUUGCUUGUUGCUAUGUUCUUUACAAAGGUGAACAGCAUGGUUUUAGAAAAAGUGAAAACAUUAUAGCAACCUUGGAGGGAGAAUUCUGUUUUUUUGCCAAAGUAUUUGGAUAUGAGCCAGCAGAUUUUGAAUGCAAACUUGACAUUAAAAACAUGGAUUCAUUUCAAAGGUGAAAGCAUAGUUGACGUUCCUGUUUGAAAAUUUGUCAAAUGUGCCAGACUUAAAAAGGGCACCAUGCCACGCUGGUGACUUCAUUUGUGUGACCCAAUAAGUGGAAUGGUGCAGCUUGAGGAUCAUCAAUCUUCCAUAUAUAUCCAUCAUAAUCACCUGAGCCACUUAAAAGAUAUUGAUCAUCUGGACUCACUGAAGACUUGACAUAAAAUGUCACAUUACUGUGGCCUCUGAAUUUUGCUAAGGGCUCUUUUUGAAAUGUAACAGUCAUACAUGUAGAUUACAUCAUUGGUGCAGUUAGCAAAAA